rnacentral:rRNA from 1 species
AGUAACGCGUGGGUAACCUGCCCUUAAGUCUGGGAUACCAUUUGGAAACAGAUGCUAAUACCGGAUAAAAGCUACUUUCGCAUGAAAGAAGUUUAAAAGGCGGCGUAAGCUGUCGCUAAAGGAUGGACCUGCGAUGCAUUAGCUAGUUGGUAAGGUAACGGCUUACCAAGGCGAUGAUGCAUAGCCGAGUUGAGAGACUGAUCGGCCACAUUGGGACUGAGACACGGCCCAAACUCCUACGGGAGGCAGCAGAU